UCCACGCUUCACAACAAACCAAGCUAGCGUAGCUGCACGUAUGACUGCAGUUAAACACGAGUGAACAAACAGCGCUUUAGAUAGAGUUUGAGAUAAAACACAAACUCUACCAGCCUCGGAAUCGACGUUAGAUUUAAUAGCUAAACGUGGAUCAUGCUCAUUCGCAUGGAGGUGUUUUGACUUCAAAAACACUGGCGUCAGUCUAUGUUGGAAAGCGGUUAUCGUCAAAGACGGCUCGACAACGAAUUUGUUUCACCAUCUGUGAAUUAACCACCGCACAGAAUAUGAAGAAUAUGAAAAGACACGACCGGCCAGCUAAGGACUCCAGCAGGGCGGAGUCUUUGCUGGUGCCAUUGGAGCUGCCCACUGACUCAUGGCCGUUGCUCCCGUUACCGUGACUUCCGUUGCCGUGACUUUCAUUGCCGUGUGAUUCGGUCCCACUCCCACUGGACCCGCUGCUCUUCAUCUCCACGUCCUCCUCGGGGAGCAAAUGGGAGUGGGUGCUUUUGCGAUGGUUGUGCAUCGUGGCGGGCGGCUCCUGGCCGCUGCUGUCACUGCCCUCUGAGGGGAGGCCAAGUUCAGCACCACCUUGGCUGUAACCUCCUAUCCGGUGCAGCUGGGCCAUGGAGCUGCACCCAGAGGCCCCCCUUGUCAUGGAGCUGCUUGAGGUGGACACUCUGCACCCUGCGGAUCCAUCCUGGUCCUCCAGAAUCUGGAAGUGGUAGGGCUUUGAAUCUGAGUCGUCUGACAUGAGGAAAUGUCACGUCCUGGGCUUGUUCCAGGUGAGUUAAGUUGAUGAUCAAAAACACAAUUACCCCAUCCCCCACAAGGCUGUUGCAAGAGGGAAUGCAGAAGACAGUGGAUUGAUCUGUUAAGAAAGGGGAGAGCAUACAAUGUAAUUAAUUCAUUAAUCACUACAUAGCAACACAACCAGGUUAAUACAUUUCCAACAAAUGCAAAGCAUCCAUUUUAUUGCGUUAGAAUAUCGACUGUUGUGAAUGAACUAAUCAGCUAUGUGAAUAAUUGCAAUGCCUCCGGGGAGCAUACUUUGAUGCCGUACAAACAGGAAAUUAAAUUAAUGGUUUUGUGGAAGACAGAACCACAUAUUCAUUUAGUAAUCAUUUGCAAAAAACGCGCACAAAGUUCUGACCUCUGCAAACCCCUGCGGUUGCUUCUCUGAUGUACAGUAAAAAAAGGUUUGCUGGUGGAGACUUGGGCCUUUAGGAUCAGCAGACAUGUCCCGUCUGACAACCUUUUCCAACCUUUUGAAAAGGAUCAUAAAACACCUUGACACCAUUUAUGUGUACUCCACCAUGGGGCGACACCUGGGAGUUAGACCUGUUUUCUGUGGCCAGGUGAUCCAGCAGCCUACGGAAUACGAGUGUCGUUGUUUAUACGAACAUUAACAUUAGCAUUAACAGCGAGGUGUUUAAACUGGAAACUAACCAUUAUCAGAUGGAAAAACUUUGAACAUAUAAUGUUGAAAAGAAAUGCAUGGAAGCAAUUGGAGGAAUGUUCUGCUUCAGUCCAUAAUGCCACAGAAUUAUAGUGAUUAUACCAUUGUUCUGUGGUGUGUAUUUUUACUCUUGACACCUUUGCAGUAAAUGCACUACGGUGAAUUCCAGUCAAAUUUCCACUUAAUUCAAGUCAAACACAUUGGUCUGAAUUACUGAUACAGACACUAUUCCUGGAGCUGGGCAACAUAAAGUCAUAUGAAAGCCACAUAGCAUCUGAGUAUAGUUUCUGGGCUGGCUUUUUCCCUGGCAUAACUUGACUAACUGCUGACAUGCCAUUCUCUGCGUCAUGGAAAGUCUUUUUUCCCUCUCUUCUGUAGACACACAGCUGAACAAUACAGUUUACCUAAGCUCCAUGGUGAUGUGCAAGUGUUUAUUUAGUCAAGUCUUUAGACUAAAGCCCACACAACCACUUAAGCAUUUGUGACGUAGUUUUUUUUAUUUUUUUUUUACCUGCCAUGACUCUCACAUUGACACAGUUUUUUUUUUGUUUUUUUUUUAAAUUAGAACACCUGCAAAAUGCACUACUUGCUGCACGGCAAACACAAAAGUGCAACAUCAGACUACAUACAAGUAAUGCUAUGAACAUUUCACAUCCUAGAAAUCAUUUGAUAUAGAUUUCCAGUGAGAACUUGAUCCUGUCUGACUGUUACUGUGCUAAACCAAUGACUGCAGUAAAAUGUCUAUUAAUGAUCAACCUAUCUGAAGGACCACUGCCAGAUGGAAGCCAGGAGUGAGUUCAUUGUCCCGGCUGCUUAUCACUGACCUGUCACACAUGGUUGUUCCUACAGCUGUGAAAACUGGGUCAUCGCAUGUUCAAUGGAACAUAUAUGUAGUGGCAUAACAUAGUGGCCCCACUGUGAGUGAGCUUUGUAGAGCAGUGAGUUUGGCAAUGUCUUGCUGAGUAACGUAAAUAAAAAAACAGCAUAGAAAGUCCUAUGUCGCUACAUUUAGUAUAAUGCACUGCCAACCUGGGAGAUUGUGACUCAACAUUUUCAAAUAAAAAUCACAAUUUCAAACGACACAAUGAGCAAACUGCAUUCCAUCUUUCUAUUUUGUUGUAGGGUUGCGACAGUUAUUUGAUUUAUAAAAGACAUUAAGUAAAAGACUGAAUAUCUAGACUGAAUAUCUAGACCUAUAACUCUAAAUUUCAGUCUUGUCAUGGGUGAAAAAACACUGAAAUUUGUUUGUUACCCUGAAGAUUUUUAUGUCAGAGCAUUAUUUCGUUAUGCCAGUUUCUUUUCAAAUUUAUAAAAUCAAAAAAGAAAAGACAAGACAUUGGAGCUGUGGAUGGCACAGUGUGACUCAAAUAUUUACUGAAAACAUGUGAUGACAUAACAAACAUACAUAUGUCGUUUCUGUGUUUAUGGAAACAGCAUAGUCAGGGCGGGGUGUCACCUGACAAUGACACUGAAUUAAUUCAAUUCAUCCUAUUAAGCUGCUGCAGGGAAGGAAGUGGAAAAAAGAGUUGGGACACAGGGUAUCUGCACUGAACAGAUUAUGAAAUACUUGCUCACUGUAUACUCAGUUUGCAGUUUGUCCUCUCUGGAUUCUUAUCAGUACAGUCACAUAGUUUGGACUGAUAUGCAACCCUUGAGGUAACAAGUGCCUGUGAGUUAUCUCUUGUGAGGAAAUGACAGAGGCUGAUCUACAGCUUGUUCCUCCCUCAUUGACCUACAUCUAUAUGCACUGACAUAACAAACAGCUGUAAUGUACUCAAUGUACUCUUCCUUCCACCCACUUCAGCUAUGGACUGAAAAGAAAACAUAUAUUUCACACACAAACUGAUCUGGCGCUAUCCCGUGUGACAUACCAAACGUCGGACUGCUCUGCAACAUGAUCUGCUCUCAGAACUCCAAUUCAAACACAGAUAACCUCUGACCGAAGCGGAGUAGGAAAAGGCAUUUGCAGCCACCAUAUCGCAUGCCAAAAUGGUGGGUGGGGACAUUUGUACCCAGAGCGACUGCUGCAGCGAGAUAAGCAUGUUGUACACACGUCAGUAAGGUGAAGCUGAAUGUCUCUUGCCAUCCCAGAUGUGCAGCCAAUAUGCUCCAUGUCAUGAAGUUCAGUGUUACUAAUGCUAACAGCUGAACAUUUUUUUAUGACUAGGACUACGGGUAAAAUCAUAUUUAAAUGCCACACAGGAGAAUCAUUUGGAUCCAGAGCCAGUGGCCAGUAAUCAUGCACAAUGUGCCAUGAUUUUUAAUGAAUCAGUUCAUCAGUUUAUCAAGUAUAUGCAUAAAUGUACAAGGAAAACCUCCAAUAAAAGCUUAUCAUCCAAACUUAAAACAAACGCAAGUAUUUUUUAGUAUAGGAUCCGCUGAGGUGAUUAAAUAUAUAUGCAAUAUUUAUGAAUGACCAAUCAACAGUAUUUCCUCAUGAAAAUGAUAUUUGUUUUCACUGCUGCCAUUCUUUGUGAACUUGCUGCAACAUAAUAUGUUGUCAAAUAUUUAAUAACCUACAAGUUUUCCACAAUACAAGAGUUUUCAGUGGACAGUUAAUGAUUUUACAAAUGUCCCUAUGAGGUAGUGACUAUUUGCAUCAAUAAAGACAAACUCCCUUCAGUCUAUGCUAGGGGUGUGAAAUCAAGAGAAAUUCAAAAUCAGUUCCACAUGCUGAAUUUCAGUUAUUUAGGAUAAUCAUGAAUAGGGAACAUUUUAGAGACUGGCUAACCAACAUACAGUGAUUUACUUUGAAGUACCACAAGGGGGAGCUAGAGCCAAUCUCAGUUUACAUGGGGCGAAAAGUGGGCUAAACCCUGGAUAGUUUGGGGGUCCAUUACAGCGCAAACAUAGGAAACGAACAUCCAGCAAAUAAUCUCCAAUUAAAUUAACAUUUUUGGGACAGUGGGAGUGCCUGGAGAGAACCCACUUGCAAACGCGGAGAACAAACAUCACACAGAAAGGCCCUCGGUCCAACCGAGAUUCUGACCGGUGACCAUUUUGCUGUGAGGCAACAGUGCUAGCCACUACGCCACCAUGCGACCCUUUUUCCAGUCAUUCAAGGAAAUGAUGUAGGCAUACCCACAUUUGUGGCAUGGCUGUUAAACACAACUGCAGAAAAAAUGCAUGCGCAUCAUCACAAGAAAUAAUCAUCAACACAGAUUGGUACAUAACACAAUGUUCCAUUCUGUAGCCAAAUAUAUUUAAGUUUCCUUUAUAUAAUGUGUUGUCUCUAUGUUGUAUUGUGGUUUCUCAUGCAAGAAAGUACCAAAGCAAAUUCCUCGUAUGUUUAUUAAUUACUUGGCAAUGUUAUAAUAUUUGCUUAUUGAUAACAACUGAUGCACAAAUUGCUUAACCUGAAUUAACUUUUAUUGGAAGACACUUGGCUCUGCCUCCCCAAUCUACACUGCAGAACACUUAGAUGUAACUCUGUAUUAGAUUAUAUAAAAUCUAUAUAAAACACACAAAACAUAGAACAGAGAAAUAUCUGCAACUUUUUAUCUGUUCAGAUAUCUUGUUGUCGUUUUUAUGACAUAAUCAAUUCUGAGAGAGAUGUAUAUGUUGUCGUGUUAAUUUAGGAUAGUUAAAUUUAUACAUGUAUAUUGAAUGUAAAAAAAAAAAGCAGUGAACAGUGUGACAGGCAGCAUGUGAACUUGUGCUGCUGCAGUAAUGCAUUCUUUAUGUAAGGCUGAACAUGUGAGUUUUAGACUCUGGUUGUCUACAACUCAGCUCAGCAGCAUCGUGAUAUAGUAUUAUAUAUUAUAUUUUCAUAUUAUAUGAUCACAUGUAACUGUGUAAAUAUAAGUGGGGUAGCGCUGCUGUCACGUCCUGUGGGCAGGGCUGCAGCUGCAGUCCGCUGACUGUAGUCCAGUGACCAGGAUUGACCCGCUCACCCACUCUCUCGCUGCACUGACACAGUUAUGCAGCUUUCGCGCUUCACGUCCACGCAGCAUUAUAAAAAGAAAAACUCAGAGAAAGCAGAGCUCGUUCACUGGGUUGACGUCUCCGUCUUCGUUGUACAGCUAGUGUUAUAUAAAACAGCCUAAACUAGAGUAAAUAACGAGUAAAACUCUACCAACCUGACGUAAAAGCGGCGCCUCUGGAAACUGUGGAGUUAAUGAAGCGUUGGUUGUGGAGGUGACCGUCACUGAAGCCGCUGUCGUUUCGAGGUUCGUGUUUUGAUUCCGCUCUCUCCCACUUAAGUUCCCUUACACCGGGGAAUCUGUCCUCUUACUCUCCGGCAGACACUGACCUCAUUUCCAACACUAUCCCUAAGCGCCUCCCCAGCUCUGCGUCCAUUGGCUCGAAGAGCUGUCAGUCAAUGCGUCACGGCGCUUGGAGCCAGUCGGCGCCGACUGUCUCUCUUUUUUUUUUUACAUAAGGGUGUCACUACUUUCACGUGGAAACCCACGGCCACCGGCAGCAUGAGAGGGGCGGGAUCAAAUCACUCCGACGCAGCUGCCGGUGAAUGAAACGAUGCAAAUGAUUGGCUCGUGGCGGCUCAGCAGCGGCGACUGUUAUCUAAACUGUUAUACAAGUGUGUGUGUGUGUGUGUGUGUGUGUGUGUGUGUGUGGUCAGUGCGGUUUGAACUGCCUGGCGCAGACAUUAGACAAGUCCCUCGUAAAAAUGUGAUAUAACACAAUGUGUCUUUGAGUGUGACCAUUAUUUCAUUUACUGUCAUCUGACCUUACAUUAAAAGGUCAGUGCAAUGUUUCACCAGAGGCGGCCCAAGACAGUCAAUCAGACAAUCAUGCAGCAAAAGUUAUGCCAUUUUGGCAGUAAAUGGUGCUGUUUACAUCCAUAGACAUAUAUAUAUAACCGGUUGCACAUACCAAGCAGGUAGGCAGGCAACACAUGUACUUAUUUGAUUGUGUUUCAAGUAGGAAUAGCCGGUACUUUCCCUUGGGGUACCAGAGUAAUAGUAUGGUAUGGGUGGAGCCUCUGUAUGUGAUGCAUCUGUGCCGCUGCACUCACUUCUCACUACUUUCUAUUAUAAGUGUGUAAAUGUUGUACAUUACUUCAGUAUCUUAUCUUUAAAAUAAAACUUUUUAUUAUCAUGA